rnacentral:ncRNA from 1 species
UUAAAGAUACUUGCGUCCAGUCCCAGGUCGAGCGUUGAAGCGGAGAAAUACCGUGAGCCGUCGCAACUAAGGAGGGCGCCCCGGUGAGAACCACGGGGAGGUGAGAACCCUAUGA